AUUUAGAUAGCUUAAGAAUAGAGCAUAAUAUUGAAGAUAUUGAGGUAGUAAAUUACUUUUAAAUA
rnacentral:tRNA from 1 species